rnacentral:lncRNA from 1 species
CUCUAUAUUAUUUAUCAUUCUUUAUAAAUCUUGGUUGGUUGGCCGGGUCACCGGACACAUUUUUAAAACUAGAUACCCCAAUGAUGAUUGUGGUCAAGUUUGGUUUAAUUUGGCCCAGUAUUUUCAGAGGAGAAGAUUUUUUGUAAGAGUUAACGACGACAGACUACAACGACAGACUACAGACGACAACGACGGACGCCAAGUGAUGAGAAAAGCUCACUUGGCCCUUCAGGCCAGGUGAGCUAAAAAAGAGUACUUAACUUAUAUUACCUUAUUAUAACUUAUAAUGAUAAAUUUCAUUGAUAAAAUGUAUGUCUGUAUAAAUGACUUGUAUAUCAAUAGCAACAAAAAGUAUAUUUUCAUACAUUUAAUUUUUUUUUAAAACUUAUUCAAACUUUUGAGUGAAAAUGAUAAAUUUUGUGCAAAUUGAUUAUGUAUGAGAUGAAGAACAGCAAUAAAAGCACUGUUCCUUUCUUUUUGUUCGUUUAUUUAUGCUGUCUAUGUACUGAUUUUGUGUUCUGGAUGGAUAUUCCUGUGUGCAUAUUCUUUGUUUACCUAUUAAACUGUAGCACUAGGUCUAUCAAAGAUGAAUACCGCUGUAUACUUUAAUGUCCAAAUCAUAAUAGUAGUCAAAUCUGAGAAAAGUUUAUCAAAAAGAAUUUUUGGAGAAAUUCAUCAUCAAAAAACUAAUCCAGAAGCUUUCGGUCUCAAACAUUUAUGAAUUUUUUUUUUAGGUAUAUUUAGUUUAGAUCACCAC